CCCUUAGAUGUUCUGGGCCGCACGCGCGCUACACUGAUUCAUGCAACAAGUUUUGUCCUUGGCUGAUAGGCCUGGGUAAUCUUUGAACGUGAAUCGUGCUGGGGAUAGAUGAUUGCAAUUAUUCAUCUUCAACGAGGAAUUCCUAGUAAACGCAAGUCAUCAGCUUGCAUUGAUUACGUCCCUGCCCUUUGUACACACCGCCCGUCGCACCUACCGAUUGAAUGGUCCGGUGAAAUCUUCGGAUCUGAGAGAUGUUGGAUUAAUUUCUGACGCCUUUUGGAAAAGUCGCUUAAACCUUAUCAUUUAGAGGAAGGUGAAGUCGUAACA
rnacentral:rRNA from 1 species